rnacentral:rRNA from 1 species
UACGUAGGGGGCAAGCGUUGUCCGGAAUGACUGGGCGUAAAGGGUGCGUAGGCGGCCAAGCAAGUUGAAAGUGUAAUACCCGGGCUUAACUCGGGUGCUGCUUUCAAAACUGCAUGGCUUGAGUGUAGCAGGGAAAAGUGGAAUUCCUAGUGUAGCGGUGGAAUGCGUAGAUAUUAGGAGGAACACCAGUGGCGAAGGCGACUUUUUGGGCUAUAACUGACGCUGAGGCACGAAAGUGUGGGGAG